CGUAUCUUGAAUGUCAAAACGACUCUCGGCAACGGAUAUCUCGGCUCUCGCAUCGAUGAAGAACGUAGCGAAAUGCGAUACUUGGUGUGAAUUGCAGAAUCCCGUGAACCAUCGAGUCUUUGAACGCAAGUUGCGCCCGAAGCCUUCGGGCCGAGGGCACGCCUGCCUGGGCGUCACGC
rnacentral:rRNA from 2 species